rnacentral:rRNA from 1 species
UACGGAGGGUGCAAGCGUUAUCCGGAUUCACUGGGUUUAAAGGGUGCGUAGGCGGGCAGGUAAGUCCGUGGUGAAAUCUCUGAGCUUAACUCAGAAACUGCCAUGGAUACUAUUUGUCUUGAAUAUUGUGGAGGUAAGCGGAAUAUGUCAUGUAGCGGUGAAAUGCUUAGAUAUGACAUAGAACACCCAAUUGCGAAGGCAGCUUACUACACAGUUAUUGACGCUGAGGCACGAAAGCGUGGGGAUCAAACAGG